GCUUCUGCUUUGGUCCAAACACCGAUAAAAAAAUAUCAGCGUGGGGCUGGUGCUGGAGCUGCUAUAGCUACUGCAUUUAAGGCAGUUCCGGCUGCCACCAUAGCUCCAGUCUCUGCCUGUGCGAGUGCCUUUCAUUAUGCCCUCCUUGGCCUCCGAAAUAGCCUUGAUCCGGAGCAUAAAAAGGAGUCCAUGGAGAAAUACAUGGGUCCCGAUCCACAGCAAUAGCAGAUUGGGAAUGUCUGUCAUCACAUCAAGUAUGAGGAGCAAAUUGUCAAGGUAAAAGUCCUUGAUUUCCGCACAAGACGCGAAGCGCUCUUCUGUGGACAGGAUGGAAUCCUUUGUACAUAAAUUGUAGAUGUACAGUCCAUGAACUAUAUUUACUACAUUCUUUCCCCAUCUGGAGAGACCAAGAUCCGGUUCUUCGGGUCUAUUGUGAAUAUUCUCUUUCACUUUAGGGAACCUGUAAAUAUUUAUUCGGUUGCGUUAGUGUUAAUGACACAGGCAUUGCGCCUGUGUGAUAUUAGUGUUUUGGAUUAAGUUGGUAAUGUACAGGAAUACGACCUUCAUUCUUUCAGAACUCAAAGGAGACCGUGUUUUCGUUUGGUUUUCUAUAUUUCUUACAGGGCGAUCAAUUUCUGUAAUAAGGAGCUUCGGGUUUGUUGAGUUUCAGUUCUUUGGGUAGUGGCCGAUUGUUCGUGCAA